rnacentral:rRNA from 1 species
UUAGCAUGGAAUAAUAAAAUAGGACGUGUGGUUCUAUUUUGUUGGUUUCUAGGACCGCCGUAAUGAUUAAUAGGGACAGUCGGGGGCAUCAGUAUUCAAUUGUCAGAGGUGAAAUUCUUGGAUUUAUUGAAGACUAACUACUGCGAAAGCAUUUGCCAAGGAUGUUUUCAUUAAUCAGGAACGAAAGUUAGGGGAUCGAAGACGAUCAGAUACCGUCGUAGUCUUAACCAUAAACUAUGCCGACUAGGGAUCGGACGAUGUUAAAAAUUGACUCGUUCGGCACCUUACGAGAAAUCAAAGUGCUUGGGCUCCAGGGGGAGUAUGGUCGCAAGGCCGAAACUUAAAGAAAUUGACGGAAGGGCACCACCAGGGGUGGAGCCUGCGGCUUAAUUUGACUCAACACGGGGAAACUCACCAGGUCCAGACACAAUGAGGAUUGACAGAUUGAGAGCUCUUUCUUGAUUUUGUGGGUGGUGGUGCAUGGCCGUUUUUAGUUGGUGGAGUGAUUUGUCUGCUUAAUUGCGAUAACGAACGAGACCUUAACCUGCUAACUAGCCCGUAUUGCUUUGGCAGUACGCUGGCUUCUUAGAGGGACUAUCGGCUCAAGCCGAUGGAAGUUUGAGGCAAUAACAGGUCUGUGAUGCCCUUAGAUGUUCUGGGCCGCACGCGCGCUACACUGACGGAGCCAGCGAGUACUCCCUUGGCCGAAAGGCCUGGGUAAUCUUGUUAAACUCCGUCGUGCUGGGGAUAGAGCAUUGCAAU